rnacentral:rRNA from 1 species
GAUGAACGCUGGCGGCGCGCCUAACACAUGCAAGUCGAACGAUUAAAGCACCUUCGGGUGUGUAUAAAGUGGCGAACGGCUGAGUAACACGUGGGCAACCUGCCCCUCUCAUUGGGAUAGCCCCGGGAAACCGCGGAUAAUACCGAAUACUUCCAGACUUCCGCAUGAAAGAUUCCAGAAAGCUUCGGCGGAGAGGGAUGGGCCCGCGGCCUGUUAGCUUGUUGGUGGGGUAACGGCCUACCAAGGCAAUGAUGGGUAGCUGGGUUGAGAGACCGACCAGCCAGA